rnacentral:rRNA from 1 species
UACGUAGGGGGCAAGCGUUGUCCGGAUUUAUUGGGCGUAAAGAGCGUGUAGGCGGCUAGGUAGGUCCGUUGUGAAAACUCGAGGCUCAACCUCGAGACAUCGAUGGAAACCAUCUAGCUAGAGUCCGGAAGAGGAGAGUGGAAUUCCUGGUGUAGCGGUGAAAUGCGCAGAUAUCAGGAGGAACACCAAUGGCGAAGGCAGCACUCUGGGACGGUACUGACGCUGAGACGCGAAAGCGUGGGGAGCAAACAGG